rnacentral:rRNA from 1 species
AGAGCGAACGCUGGCGGCAGGCCUAACACAUGCAAGUCGAGCGCCCGUAGCAAUACGGGAGCGGCAGACGGGAUAGUAACACGUGGGAACGCGCCCUUCGGUUCGGAAUAACUCAGGGAAACUUGAGCUAAUACCGAAUACGCCCUUACGGGGAAAGAUUUAUUGCCGAAGGAACGGCCCGCGUCCGAUUAGCUAGUUGGUGAGGUAAUGGCUCACCAAGGCUACGAUCGGUAGCUGGUCUGAGAGGAUGACCAGCAUCACUGGGACUGAGACACGGCCCAGACUCCUACGGGAGGCAGCAGUGGGGAAUAUUGGACAAUGGGCGCAAGCCUGAUCCAGCCAUGCCGCGUGGAUGAUGAAGGCCUUAGGGUUGUAAAGUCCUUUUAACGGGGAAGAUAAUGACGGUACCCGUAGAAUAAGCCCCGGCUAACUUCGUGCCAGCAGCCGC